rnacentral:rRNA from 1 species
UACGGAGGGUGCGAACGUUAAUCGGAAUUACUGGGCGUAAAGCGCGCGUAGGCGGUUCGAUAAGUGGGAUGUGAAAGCCCAGGGCUUAACCUUGGAACUGCAUUCUAAACUGCCGGACUAGAGUAUGGUAGAGGGAGGUAGAAUUUCCUGUGUAGCGGUGAAAUGCGUAGAUAUAGGAAGGAAUACCGGUGGCGAAGGCGGCCUCCUGGACCAAUACUGACGCUGAGGUGCGAAAGCGUGGGGAGCAAACAGG